GCGGGGGUGCCCGAGCCAGGUCAAAGGGGCAGGGUUGAGGUCCCUGUGGCGCAGGCCUGCGUGGGUUCAAAUCCCACCCCCCGCACCA
rnacentral:tRNA from 1 species